GCUCAGUAGGUUAAACAUCUGACUUUGGCUCAGGUCAUGAUCUCACGGUUCGUGGGUUCAAGCCCCACAUUGGGCU
rnacentral:tRNA from 1 species